GAAGAAGAAGAAGAAGAAGAAGAAGAAGAAGAAGAAGAAGAAGAAGAAGAAGAAGAAGAAGAAGAAGAAGAAGAAGAAGAAUCCAAAUAAACAAAUUUGGGCUGGAGAGAUGGCUUAGUGGUUAAGAGCAGCAUUACUGCUCUAACAGAGGUCCUGAGUUCAAUCCCCAGCAACCACAUGGUGGCUCACAACCAUCUGUAAUGGGAUCUGAUGCCCUCUUCUGGUGUGUCUAAAGAGAGUGACAGUGCACUCAUAGACAUGAAUAAAUAUUAAAAAAAACAAACACACAGUAAAAAUUAAAAUUCUGAAGUCCAGCGGCUUGUGCCUGUAAUCCAGGGAUUGGGCAGGGAGGCAGAACUGGGCCAGUUCGGCUACAGCAGACCCUGCCACAAAGAAGCCAACAGAGAAAUACUGUCAUCUCUAAAACCCAAGGCCAGGUCUUGCACACGCAAAGCACUGAGCCCUCAGCCCUGCGGCCCCUUUAAAUCUAGAAGGCUCGGACGAACAAAGUUUCUGCACCUCAAACACAGAUCUUGUACUGGCCUUUAGUCAGCCAAGGAGAGCAGAGGGUCUGUGUCCCAGCCCCUGAUCUCCAGUGUGUGAGUGUGAAGCACGGUUGUCUGGGCUCUCUCUCCUCACCUGGGACAUCGGCCAAGGCCUCUGGCCCAGAGGAGUCCCUCACUUCCCAGCUGUUUCCCCACCGUCCUCCUGGGAGAGAAGCCAGGGGCAGGGGGUGGGGGAGGAGUGGGCAGCUGCACGGAGGAAGAGAUGGGGGCUUACUUAAAGACUCAUCUGUGACAGCAGCCAGUUCAGCUCCCAGGCCAGCUGCUCUCUGGAAUCCUGGCCUGUCACACCCGGGGUCCACUUAUAAAUAAACAGCAACCUUUGCACCAACAAGCACAGAGCUAGCUAAGAGCCCCGGGUUGCAGAGGGUGUGAAUAGUGACCGGGUAAGACCCGAGAGAGUCCACUUGAUCUCUGGCUCAAAGCACCUAAGAAUUCCAACUGGACUCACUCCUUCCACAGGGAAAGAAGGCAAGGGGGAGUGGCCAUCCCAGACAACAGCCUUCUGCAAUGAUGCCUUCCGACUCCGUUCACGGGCACUCUGAGAACCUACCUCUCCCAAACCCAACUAAGAGCAGGACCAGACUCCUCCUGGCAGUGUGGGGUGUUGUUGGCCCCUCGGAGACCUCUGGAUUUCAACAUUCCUCAUCUCAGUGCUCAGAGAUCUGUUCCCUGUCCAAGGCAUAACCCAAUGACAAAAAUAGCAGCUGCUGGAGGUGGGGAGAGGGAAGGGGUUUCCACACAAUGGGUUUAUUUGUAGACUACACACCAGGGGCUCAGCAGCCAAGCAGCCGAGGCCCCACUCCCAGAAGGCCAGCCAAGAGCUAGGCCAGCCCAGCUAAGGAGAUGGGGAGUGUCAGACCAGAAGGCAAUUGAGUUUCUGUGUGACUUCAGGUAGUCAGUCUCUCAGGAAGGGGUUCCUUCCCACUAUGUGGGGACUGUUCUAGAACAGUAACUCUCACAGAGGGACCCGGGGACCCCACAAGGUCACAGCUACUUCACAGUCAUGACACUGUCUACCUGCAUCACUCCCUGCCUUCCCCAGUGGCCUUUCCCAGAGACUGUGUUGCUCAUGACCACAGCAGAUGCCUGCCUCACAGAAGCCGAUACGAGGGACGCACUGCUCUCUAUGACAUCAGACGCCAGAUUCGCAAACAUUUUGUUUUUGCAGUGCUGAGGAUCAAACAACCAAGGGAUGAACAUUCUACCAACCAGGUUACUGCAGAGCCCCGAAGGAUCACCCGUCCAGAUCACCCGUCCAGAACAGCCGUCCAGGACAGAGAAAGAAAGUUCAGUUUAUCACUGUUACCACUACCUACAGGUGGGAAAGAUGGCUAACCCAGUGGAGAAGUUACACUGUCUGUCUGCCUGUCUAUCUAUCCUCCUCUCCUCUAUCCAUCUAUCAUCUAUCAAUUAUAUCAUUCAUCCAUAUAGCUAUCAUCUAUCUACCUAUCUAUAAUCUAUCUAUCUGUCUGUCCAUCUGUCUAUCUCUAUCUCGUGUCUCUAGUAGCUGAGACUGGCCUGAACUCCUGAUCCAUCUAUGUCUGUCUGUCUAUCUCAUGUCUCCAAGUAGCUAAGGCUGGCCUGAACUCCUGAUUUAUCUAUGUCUGUCUGUCUGUCGGUCUGUCUCUAUCUAGUGUCUCCAGUAUCUGAGGCUGGCCUGAACUCCUGACCUUACUUUCCCACUCCCCUAGCUGGGUGCAUCCAGGGAAGUACAAGUCAAGCCCAGACUGAACCCACUUUUGAAGAGCCACUGUAGCUGUUGGCUGGAGAUCCCCAGGUCCUCUGGCAAAUCCUUUCUGCAGGGAAUGGGAGAGGCAAAGGCAAGGGACAGACACUCACUCCUGUCCCCAGCUGUUGUUUACCUACUUUUCUCCUUUCUCUGUGCCAACCGCAGGGGCCCCUGUGCUGUGGGUCCUGCCAGCUCUGUACGAAGGCCUCUAGCCGGAGCUCCUCCUUCAAUCAUGAAAUCAUGAUUCCUCCUCUGCUCUCCUCAGACGUCUGCAAGCUACCCGCCCGUUUCCCCACAGGGGAGAAGCCAGCAGCAGGGACACAUCUUUAAUUCCAGCACUUUGCAUAGAGGCAGGUGGAUUUCUAUGAGAUCAAGGCCAGCCUUGUCUGCAUACUGAGUUCCAGGUCAGCCAGGGCUACACGGUGAGACCUUGUCUCAAAACAAAUCACAAAAACGAAUCGUCUGUCCCUACUUACCACCCAAUAGAGCACAGCGUUGUCUCUUCCCUGCCGAGGCCAGUUCAUCUUGACUGACACAUCUGGUUUUGCUAUCUACCUUCUGAAGGCAUUUCCCCAUCCACUUUUUGCAUACUAGGAAUUACUCUCAGAGCCUCGAACAUGUUAAGCAUCCACUCAAACACUUCUCAGGCAACUUUAAGAUUUUUUUAUUUUAUGUAAAUGAGUGUUUUGGCUGUACAUACGUGUGCGCCAGGUACACGCCUGGCGUCUACAUGGUCAGAGGAGGACAUCAGAGUCCCCGAAAAUGGGGUACAUAUGGGUGUGAGUCAUCAUGUGGGUUCUAGAAAUUGAAGCCAGGUACUCUGGGAAAGCAACCAGUGCUCUGCUCACUCUACCACUGCUCCAACACAAAGCUUUUCAAUAACUCCCUUCAAAGCAAAGGGUUGUGGUACGGUUUUCUCUGAGGCUGAAACAUUCCAUACCUCAGAGAAGCUCCUUAAACAAGAAGGUGAACAACUUGAAAUAGAUUCAGGAAGUCCUUGAAACUGAACAGAUUCAUCAGGCUCCUUCCCAAUAGAGUAUGAAAUAAAAGCUGAGGGUCCCUCUAAGGUCAAGAAAACGGAAUUGCAAUGAAGAUUCUCAGAGGAGAAAAGCUACAAAGAGGACUCCUGAGGCCAGCUGAGCUGCUUGGUGAGGUUUAAAACUCUGGAGCCUGUAGAAGGACACUCUGGCCUAGUGAGCAGCGAGCUCCAGGUUCCCUGCUGUGUCAGCUGCCAUUCAUGCUGGAGUCUCCUUUGGUGACACAGCCAUCUUUCAGUCAUUUCUGCUCCUCUAAGUAACGCCAAUAAAAUGGAACGGUUCACCAAAUUGGACUUUGGUGGUAUCCAUACUUUGGUCUGUUCUGGGUUCCCUAUCUAGAGUGAGUAGAUGUGUAUGUUGUGUCUCCCCAGAAAAAGUUUUGUCACACAUCACAAAGUUUCUCAAAAUGGAAGAAAAACAAAAGAAAACAAACAAACAAUACAAAAUUUAAAAACCCAAAGGAGCCAUCCUCAGGCAUGAGAGCUGGCCCUGGCCCUGACCUGGGCAAACCAGGAGAGCUGGCCCUCGAGGUUCAGGUGCAGGACAGCUGGUGGGGUGACCAACUCAACUUCCACCCAGGCCCAGAUCCAGGGUUUUGAGUUGACCACCCCAACAUACACCCCACAUAUGAACUGCUAGAGCAUGUGAAGGGGCCGGUCCUGCAGAUCCAAAGCUGCAGGAUCUCCAUGACACAGGGCAACAGCAGGAUAACUGGGAGGAGCCCCGGUGAGGAUCCAGUAUGGAUGGUGUAGGAGGACCAGAGGCCAUGAACCAGACCAAUGACUCAUAGCAAUGAACGUUUGCAAAUAAAGCUGUUUGGAAAAAGGGUGUGCUGUGUGACACACUGGGACACAUCACAACUUCCACAGUGAGAUGUUUUCUUUUCUUUCUUUUGUUUGUUUUUGUUUUUGUUUUCUUUGAUAUGGGGGAGGGGGGAGGCUGCAAGGGUAGAGGAUGGAUAUGAAGGGGAGAUGAGUGGGACUGGGAAAGAAGAGGUGAAAUUCACAAAGCAUUCAUUAAAUAAGAAAACCCUAAAGAACAAAACCUAAAUGGAAGGAGGGCUGUGGGCUGUGGCUCUCCCCUUCCUUACUCUGUGUCCUUAGUGGCAGGUCAUGGCCACAGCAGUAAACCCAAGCUACUCUUCCCAGUCUUCCCUGCCUUCUACCUGCACUUACUUUACCAAGCCUCGGAGCAGAGUCCCCAUGCCACAUACAACCCACCCGAUUAAACUGUGUAGCCGGUAUGUUGUCACACCCUCUGAGCAUGCUCAGGCGCAGGUGAGAGGCUCUCACGCUGAACGCCAGCCUGGGAGACCAGAGACCUGGCCUCAAAGAACAUCUACAAGUUACAGAGGGACACACACAACUCAGUGGAUUUUGCUGUACUCAGGUAAGUGGCCAAUCGCAUCAACUUUAGACCGUUUAUUUACUCUUGCCUUUUCCCUUAGCAGCUUCCGCCAGGGGAACCGCUGUGUAGCUUCUGUCUUCGUAGGUUUCUUUAUUCUGCACAUUCUGUUUGAAUGGAAUCACACAGUAAGUGGCCUCCUGUGACUGGCUCCUUUCACCCCGUUACAGUCUGUUCAGAGUUCACCAUGCGGCAAGCUUUAUUGCGGCCCAUUCUUCACGGCUAAGCCUGUGCACAGCCCGAGUUCUGUUUAUCCACUCCCUGAAGCAGACACUGGGGCUGUCUGCACCUUUGGGCUAUUGUAAUAAUAUGAUCUAUGGGCACAUUUGUGUAUGGCUGUAUGUUUUCAGGUCUCUUAGGGGUCUGUGAGUAGAACUGCUGGAUCAUGUGACUUACUUCUAGUUGUUCAUGGAGGUACCAGGCUGCCUUCCAAAGCUGACAGUUUUCCAUUUCACCAACCAAGUCUGAGGGCUGUGAUUUCUUUACACCCUCACUGCUCGCAACCUGCUUUUCUGAUCCUAGGCACUCAUAACUGUAAGAAGCGGUCCUCACUGUGGUCUGGCUUUGAGAGUCUCACUACACAGCGGGCCUGGAACUUGUUAUAUUUACGUAAGACCCUAGCCUUGAAUUUACAGAGAUCCUUCUGCCUUCUGCUGCCGAGUGCUAGAAUUAAAUAUGUGUACUACCAUACCAGUUCAUGUGGCUUUGGUUUAUAAUUCCUAGAUGAUUUACAAUGGUGGCCAUUAUUGAGAGCGUCCCCUACCCCGGGUUCUAACCUCUUUUUAUUUUAUGUACAUGGGUGGUUUUUUUUUUUCUGGCAUGUUAAGUCUGUAUGUUGUAUGUGUGCAACGACAGUGAGGACAGAAUCCUCUGGGACUACAGUUACAGAGGGUUGUGAGCCACCAUGUGGGUGCUGGGAACUGAACCCAGGUCCUUUGGAAGAGCAACCAGUCCUCUUGACAGCCACCUCUUCAGCACCCGAUUUUUUUUUUAAAGAUUUAUUUAUUUAUUAUAUAUACUGUAGCUGUCUUCAGAUACACCAGAAGAGGGCAUCGGAUCUCUUUACAGAUGGUUGUGAGCCACCAUGUGGUUGCUGGGAAUUGAACUCAUGACCUCUGGAAGAGCAGUUGGGUGCUCUUAACCGCUGAGCCAUCUCUCCAGCCCAGCACCCGAUUUUUAAAGUUUUACUUAUAGAAAAGGUUAUUUGAAUCUCUGCCCACUUUCAAAUUGGGUGGGUUUUCUUUUUUAAAAAAAGAUUUAUUUAUUUAUUUAUUUAUUUAUUUAUUUAUUUAUACAUACACUGUUGCCAUCUUCAGACACACCAGAAGAGGGCACCAGAUCCCCGUUGCAGAUGGUUGUGAGCCACCAUGUGGUUGCUGGGAUUUGAACGCAGGGCCUCUGUUAGAGCAGUCAGUGCUCUUAACCACUGAGCCAUCUCUCCAGCCCUUCAAACUGGGUUUUCUAAACAGACAUCAGUACUCUUUACAUGUUCUGAAGAUAAACCUCUCAGUCCAUAUACAUUGCAAACAUUUCACUCCAUUCUGUGGGAGAUCAGUGAGGGGAUUUUUUUGGUCCUGGACUUUUCUUAUCUUUCCAACUUCUCAUUUCUCUCCUUCUCUGUGUGUUUGUGUGUGCACAUGUAUAUGUAAUAUGUGUUUGUGUCUAUGUGUGUGUGUGUGUGUACACUUAACAGAUAUAGUAGCAUGUUACCACUUGUAUAUUUUUCUUUAAGCAGAACGAUUUUUAGAAGAUGAAGUGACAGAACGUAUUCACAUCCAGCCAGCACCCCCAUGGCAGCUCACUGUCUGUAACUCCAGGAUCCAACGCCCCCACACAGACAUACAUGCAGGCAAAA